GGAGCUUCCCCAGAAGGCAGAAGGCCUCUGGGCCCUGGCUUCUGGGGAGCGCAACCUGUGAUGCUGCGGAGCAAUGAAACAUCCUGAAUGCUGGCAGUAAGAAUGGAAAGGACAUCUGUGCAUUGUGGCAACAAAGUCAUUACGAACAAUGGAGACCUGCAGAAGAUCUUCUAAGAAGGAUUAUUUGUGGUGACAGCAAUCUCCUGACAUUGACCCUAGCGCCUUCCCCUUGCAGGCACCAGCAUCUUACUUGCUUCCAUUGCAUCUUCCCUCCCCUGACAGCGUUUAAGCCCUUUUGAACAGCAGCCCAUGGAAGAGGAUGGGUGGGCGUAUGGAUUGUCUGGGUAAGUCGGGUAAGUCGUUUAUUGUGUAAUAAAUAAUUCAGCACAAAUCA
rnacentral:lncRNA from 1 species